GACGAACGCUGGCGGCAUGCCUAAUACAUGCAAGUCGAGCGGACGAUCUGAGAAGCUUGCUUCUCAGAUAGUUAGCGGCGGACGGGUGAGUAACACGUAGGCAACCUGCCCUCAAGCUUGGGACAACUACCGGAAACGGUAGCUAAUACCGAAUACUUGUUUUCUUCGCCUGAAGGGAACUGGAAAGACGGAGCAAUCUGUCACUUGGGGAUGGGCCUGCGGCGCAUUAGCUAGUUGGUGAGGUAACGGCUCACCAAGGCGACGAUGCGUAGCCGACCGGAGAGGGUGAUCGGCCACAGUGGGACUGAGACACGGCCCAGACUCCUACGGGAGGCAGCAGUAGGGAAUCUUCCGCAAUGGGCGAAAGCCUGACGGAGCAAUGCCGCGUGAGUGAUGAAGGUUUUCGGAUCGUAAAGCUCUGUUGCCAGGGAAGAACGCUUGGGAGAGUAACUGCUCUCAAGGUGACGGUACCUGAGAAGAAAGCCCCGGCUAACUACGUGCCAGCCGCCGCCGUAA
rnacentral:rRNA from 1 species